rnacentral:misc_RNA from 1 species
CAGUCUUCCAAGUAGGUUCAUACUUUCUAGGCCCCCUCCCUCUCACACCUUUAGGUGGCUGACUCUGAUUGUUACCAUUGCUGAACGUUUUAGAUUUGUUCCUUCUAGCAUAUCCACGGUCUGGGGCUCGACUUUUCCCACCACGACCUCGAAAAUUACCUUUAGAACCCCUCCUUCCCUGUUCAUAAUGCCUUUCCUGCAAAUUCAUCUCCUCAAACUUGUCGUGCCCCCAUUUCUUGUCAUCUUUGGACUCCCACAACUUCCUUCCGCCAUAUGUUCUCCUGUGUCGACCACCAGCAUUGUCUCUAAACCGAUCAUCAUGCAUGUAAAAAGCACCAGCAGUGGGUACUGCAAAUGGUUCAUUCUCCUUUCUCCCCUCUUCAUCCUCAUCCUCUUCCUCCUCCACAUGAUUCUCCGCUGCUUUCACAUCUGCCCCUUCCUCCACCUUCCUCCCCUCUACUUCCUUCACCUCCACUCCACCACCACCUCCUCCUCUCUCCGCAUUCCUUUCUUUCCCUUCAUCAAACCCAUCAAUUUCAUCUUCCUCUUCCUCGUCCUCAUAAGCUUCUUCCUCUUCUUCAUCUUCAUAGACCUCUUCUUCAUCAUCUUCCCCUUCUACUUCCUCUCCAUCGUCAUCAUAUUCUGCUGCCCCACCCUGGCCAUCGGAUUCUUCAGAGUGAAGGACUCUCCGAUCCAUUCUUGGUUUCUCUUCCCCUUCACCUUCCUCAUCGUCGCUUGCCGCUUCACGUCUUCUCAUCCCCAGCAAGCGCUUUUCCUCCUCAGGAUCGCUCUCAU